rnacentral:rRNA from 1 species
CAGAGGCCCCAAGCGUUACUGAGAAUCACUGGGUUUAAAGGGUGCGUAGGUGGCGCGUUAAGUCCGUUGUGAAAUCCCUGGGCUCAACCCAGGAAUUGCUUCGGAUACUGGCGUGCUUGAGGCUAGUAGGGGUCACUGGAACUGACGGUGGAGCGGUGAAAUGCGUAGAUAUCGUCAGGAACGCCGAUGGUGAAGACAGGUGACUGGGCUAGUUCUGACACUGAGGCACGAAAGCGUGGGGAGCGAACGGGAUUAGAUACCCCGGUAGUCCACGCCCUAAACGAUGCAGACUAGACUGCAGCGGGUUACACCCCGUUGCGGUCGGAGCGAAAUUGUUAAGUCUGCCACCUGGGAAGUACGGUCGCAAGGCUA